UGCCCCGUGGCUGAGUUGGUUACAGCGGUUGACUGUUAGAAGCACUGAGAGGUGAAUAUAGCUGAUCAGACGGUCGAGAGUUCGAGUCUCUCCGGGGCAG
rfam:Cryptococcus depauperatus CBS 7841 supercont1.10, whole genome shotgun sequence.